AUGGACGUUAAGACGACUUUCCUCAAUGGAGAGUUGAAGGAGGAAAUCUACAUGGAUCAGCCAGAUGGUUUUGUAGUACCUGGUCAGGAAGGAAAGGUGUGCAAGUUAUUAAAGUCGUUAUAUGGCCUUAAACAAGCUCCUAAGGAGUGGCAUGAGAAGUUCGAAAGAACAUUAACUGUUGCCGGCUUUGUAGUAAAUGAUGGUGACAAGUAUGUGUACUAUCGCCAUGGUGGGGGCGAAGGAGUUAUUCUUUGUCUGUAUGUCGAUGACAUACUGAUCUUUGGAACCAAACUUGAUCUAAUCAAGGAGGUUAAGGAUUUCCUAUCUCGCUGUUUUGAGAUGAAGGAUCUAGGAGUAGCUGAUGUUAUCUUGAACAUCAAGCUGUUGAGAGAUGAGAAUGGUGGGAUCACACUUCUUCAGUCUCACUAUGUGGAAAAGGUCUUGAGUCGUUUUGGGUAUAGCGACUGCACACCUUCUCCAACUCCAUAUGAUGCUACGAGUGCCACGAGGCCUGACAUCUCUUUUGCUGUGAGCAAGCUGAGUCGGUUUGUGUCAAAACCGGGAGAUGAUCAUUGGUGUACGCUUGAGAGAGUUAUGCGCUACUUGAAGGGCACUGCGAGCUAUCGGAUUCACUACACCGGGUAUCCAAGGGUACUGGAGGGUUAUAGUGACUCGAACUGGAUAUCUGAUGCUUAUGGGAUUAAGGCCACAAGUGGUUAUGAUUUUACACUUGGUGGUGACGCUGCCACUGUUGAAGCAGAGUGGCUUCAUGAGCUAUUGAUGGACUUACCUAUGGUUGAAAAACCAAUACCCCCUAUCCUGAUGAACUGUGAUAAUCAAACUAUGAUCGUCAAGAUAAACAGUUCUAAGGACAAUAUGAAGUCCUCAAGGCAUGUGAAGAGGAGACUAAAAUCUAUCAGAAAAUUGAGGAACUCCGGAGUUAUUAUGUUGGAUUAUAUCCAAACAACAAAAAACUUGGCAGAUCCCUUCACAAAGGGUUUAUCACGUAAUGUGAUAGAUAAUGCAUCAACAGAGAUGGGCUUGAGACCCACU
rnacentral:rRNA from 1 species